rnacentral:lncRNA from 1 species
UGACAAGCUGAUGGGACUAUGGGCUAUAGGUGACAAGCUGAUGGGACUAUGGGCUGUAGGUGACAAGCUGAUGGGACUAUGGGCUAUAAGUGACAAGCUGAUGGGACUAUGGGCUAUAUGUGACAAGCUGAUGGGACUAUGGGCUAUAGGUGACAAGGUGAUGGGACUAUGGGCUAUAGGUGACAAGCUGAUGGGACUAUGGGUUAUAGGUGACAAGCUGAUGGGACUAUGGGCUAUAGGUGACAAGCUGAUGGGACUAUGGGCUGUAGGUGACAAGCUGAUGGGACUAUGGGCUGUAGGUGACAAGCUGAUGGGACUAUGGGCUAUAGGUGACAAGCUG